ACACACACACUCUACACACACGCACUCUACACACACACUCUACACACGCACUCUACACACACACUCUACACACACACUCUACACACUCACUCUAUACACACACUCUACACACACACACACACACACACUCUACAAACACACUCUACACACACACUCUACACACACACUCUACACACACACACUACACACACACACUCUACACACGCACUCUACACACACACACUCUACAAACACACACACACACUUUACACACGCACUCUACACACACACUCUACACACACACUAUACACACACACUCUACACACACACUAUACACACACACUGUACACACACACUAUACACACACACUGUACACACACACUCUACACACACACACUCUACACUCUACACACACUCUACACACACUCUACACACACACUCUACACACACAUACAUUGUAAUAUUCUAUUAUUGUACAUUUUGUGAUGGAAUUGUUUCAUACCUGUUUGCACCCCAGGAAGAGUAGCUGCUGCCUUGGUAGGAACUAAUGGGGAUCCUAUUAAAUACUAAAUACGCUCCUCUCCUUCUCCCAAACCCACCAUCCCUUGGAUCAAGCACUCUUCCCUGAGCUCCACAUCUAAUAAUGGCACCAUCAUUCCUCACUCUAAUUCUUUUGGCAGGGCCUGUCAAACAGCAUAUGCUGGAGGACACUGUGACUUUGAAAUGCUGCUAAUGACCCAAGGAUAUUUUCCCCUCGCUCGCUGGUGAUUAGAGAGAGAGAGGACCGAGGGAGGGAGGAGAGAAAAAGAGAGAAGGGUGCGAGAGAAAAGGAAUAAGAGACAGAGAUAUAAAGAGUGAGAGGGAGAGAGAAAAAGAGAGGGAGAUAUAAAGAGAGGGAGAGAGAUAAAGAGAGGAAGAGAUAUAUAAGGAGAGGGAGAGAGAUACAAAGAGAGAGAGAGAGAGAUAAAGAGAGGGAGAGAGAUAUAAGGAGAGAGAGAGAGAGAGAUAAAGAGAGGGAGAGAGAGAUAAAGAGAGGGAGAGAGAUAUAAGGAGAGGGAGAUAUAAAGAGAGGGAGAGAGAUAUAAAGAGGGAGAUGUAAAGAGAGGGAGAGAGAUAUAAAGCGAGGGAGAUAGAUAUAAAGAGUGGGAGAGAGAGAUAAAGAGAGGGAGAGAGAUAUAAGGAGAGGGACAGAGAUAUAAAGAGAGGGAGAUAUAAAGAGAGGGAGAUAUAAAGAGAGGGAGAGAGAUAUAAAGAGAGGGAGACAGAGAUAAAGAUAGGGAGAUAUAAAGAGAGGGAGAGAGAGAUAAAGAGAGGGAGAUAUAAAGAGAGGGAGAGAGAGAUAAAGAGAGGGAGAGAGAGAUAAAGAGAGGGAGAUAUAAAGAGAGGGAGAGAGAGAUAAAGAGAGGGAGCUAUCAAGAGAGGGAGAUAAAGAGAAGGAGAGAGAUAUAAAGAGAGGGAGAGAGAUGAAGAGAGUGAGAGAGAUAUAAAGAGAGGGGGAGAGAUAUAAAGAGAGAGAGAUAUAUAAAGAGAGGGGGAUAUAAAGAGAGGGAGAGAGAUAUGUAGAGAGGGAGAGAGAGAAAGAGAGGGAGAGAGAGAUAAAGAGAGGGAGAUAUAAAGAGAGGGAGAUAUAAAGAGAGGGAGAGAGAUAUAAAGAGAGGGAGAUGUAAAGAGAGGGAGAGAGAUAUAAGGAGAGGGAGAGAGAUAUAAAGAGAGGGAGAGAGAUAUAAAGAGUGGGAGAGAGAGAUAAAGAGAGGGAGAGAGAUAUAAGGAGAGGGACAGAUAUAUAAAGAGAGGGAGAUAUAAAGAGAGGGAGAGAAAGAUAAAGAGAGGGAGAGAGAUAUAAAGAGAGGGAGAGAGAGAUAAAGAGAUAUAAAGAGAGGGAGAGAGAGAUAAAGAGAGGGAGAUAUAAAGAGAGGGAGAGAGAGAUAAAGAGAGGGAGGUAAAGAGAAGGAGAGAGAUAUAAAGAGAGGGAGAGAGAUGAAGAGAGGGAGAUAUAAAGAGAGGGAUAGAGAUAUAAAUAGAGGGAGAGAGAUAUAAAGAGAGAGAGAGAUAUAAAGGGAGGGAGAGAGAUGAAGA
ensembl:lncRNA